GUAGUCCACGCCCUAAACGAUGUCGACUAGUUGUUGGACGGGAUACUGUUCAGUAACGUAGCUAACGCGUGAAGUCGACCGUCUGGGGAGUACGGCCGCAAGGUUAAAACUCAAAGGAAUUGACGGGGACCCGCACAAGCGGUGGAUGAUGUGGUUUAAUUCGAUGCAACGCGAAAAACCUUACCUACCCUUGACAUGCCAGGAACUUGCCAGAGAUGGUUUGGUGCUCGAAAGAGAACCUGGACACAGGUGCUGCAUGGCUGUCGUCAGCUCGUGUCGUGAGAUGUUGGGUUAAGUCCCGCAACGAGCGCAACCCUUGUCAUUAGUUGCUACGCAAGAGCACUCUAAUGAGACCGCCGGUGACAAACCGGAGGAAGGUGGGGAUGACGUCAAGUCCUCAUGGCCCUUAUGGGUAGGGCUACACACGUCAUACAAUGGGCGGUACAGAGGGUUGCCAACCCGCGAGGGGGAGCCAAUCCCUUAAAACCGUUCGUAGUCCGGAUUGUAGUCUGCAACUCGACUGCAUGAAGUCGGAAUCGCUAGUAAUCGCGGAUCAGCUUGCCGCGGUGAAUACGUUCCCGGGUCUUGUACACACCGCCCGUCACACCAUGGAAGUGGGGUUUACCAGAAGUAGUUAGCUUAACCGCAAGGAGGGCGAUUACCACGGUAGGCUUCAUUUCUACGGUAAAGUCGUAACAAGGUAACCGUA
rnacentral:rRNA from 1 species